AGAGGCUCAUCUGACCCUAUGAGUCUUAUCCUGCCCUCUUUGAAAUACACAAUACCAUCCUUGAUUGCAGCCUUAUAGCUAUCACACUCACCACGCUUAUGGUUUGGAUUGUCACACCACAUACAUCUUUCUAUAAAUCCCUUUGAGCCUUCAAUUGUCUUUGAUGAGCUUGCCAUUUGGGAUUUCUUCAAUUUAGUCAUUUCCACCUUCAAGUCCUGUAUGCCCUUAAUUAGUUCUUCAAGAAUACCAUCCUUAACAGUCUUGAUUCCGUUUUGAGGUGGCAUUA
rnacentral:lncRNA from 1 species